rnacentral:rRNA from 1 species
UACGAAGGGUGCAAGCGUUACUCGGAAUUACUGGGCGUAAAGCGUGCGUAGACGGUUAUUUAAGUCGGGUGUGAAAGCCCCGGGCUCAACCUGGGAAUUGCAUUCGAGACUGAAUAGCUAGGGUACGGUAGAGGGAAGUGGAAUUUCCGGUGUAGCGGUGAAAUGCGUAGAUAUCGGAAGGAACAUCAGUGGCGAACGCGACUUCCUGGACCAAUACCGACGUUCAGGCACGAAAGCGUGGGGAGCAAACAGG